UACAGAGGGGGCAAGCGUUGUUCGGAAUUACUGGGCGUAAAGGGCGCGUAGGCGGCCCGCUAAGUCGAACGUGAAAUCCCCGAGCUCAACUCGGGAACUGCGUCCGAUACUGAUGGGCUUGAAUCCGGGAGAGGGAUGCGGAAUUCCUGGUGUAGCGGUGGAAUGCGCAGAUAUCAGGAGGAACACCGAUGGCGAAGGCAGGUCUCUGGGCCAUUACUGACACUGAGAAGCGAAAGCAUGGGGAGCGAACAGG
rnacentral:rRNA from 1 species